rnacentral:rRNA from 1 species
AACGAACGCUGGCGGCAGGCCUAACACAUGCAAGUCGAACGCUCCGCAAGGGGGAGUGGCGCACGGGUGAGUAACACGUGGGAACCUACCUUCUGGUACGGAACAACCAAGGGAAACUUUGGCUAAGACCGUAUACGACCUCCGGGUGAAAGAUUGAUCGCCGGAAGAGGGGCCCGCGUCCGAUUAGGUAGUUGGUGAGGUAACGGCUCACCAAGCCUUCGAUCGGUAGCUGGUCUGAGAGGAUGACCAGCCACACUGGGACUGAGACACGGCCCCAGACUCCUACGGGAGGCAGCAGUGGGGAAUAUUGGACAAUGGGCGCAAGCCUGAUCCAGCCAUGCCGCGUGAGUGAUGAAGGCCUU